GGUUAUUCGCUAGUGUAUGAAAUUUCUAUUUUUUUCCGAUGGUCUAUAAACGCAUCACUUGCUGCAACGUGUUCUGAGCUGCUGCGCCACAACUUUCCUCCAUUCCUCCGCGGGUUUUUGAACAAGAAACACACUACUAUUCUCUCUUCCAUAUCACGGAGAGUCGGAGUGAGAAGCCAUGUUAGCUGUGUGCGCAUGAGGCUGAAUUGAGGCCGACAGGUAGUCGCCAUUACACAAAACUUUCUGGCUGGUUUUUCCCGGGGGUAUCCGGUUCCACAUGCAUAAACUUCUUCAUGAUGAUCUUCACUGAAUGAUUCGGCUGAGCCAUCCUGCCUGGUGGGAAAGAACUACUGCAGGCUGAUCCUCCGACCGCUGGUUGCUGAUACCGCUCGACACUGCAUCAUUUCAAGGAGGCGGUAGG